CCUACGGGAGGCAGCAGUGGGGAAUAUUGGACAAUGGGGGGAACCCUGAUCCAGCGACGCCGCGUGAGUGAAGAAGUAUUUCGGUAUGUAAAGCUCUAUCAGCAGGGAAGAAAGAAAUGACGGUACCUGACUAAGAAGCCCCGGCUAACUACGUGCCAGCAGUCGCGGUAAUACGUAGGGGGCAAGCGUUAUCCGGAUUUACUGGGUGUAAAGGGAGCGUAGACGGCGAUGCAAGUCUGAAGUGAAAGGCGGGGGCACAACCCCCGGACUGCUUUGGAAACUGUAUGGCUGGAGUGCAGGAGAGGUAAGUGGAAUUCCUAGUGUAGCGGUGAAAUGCGUAGAUAUUAGGAGGAACACCAGUGGCGAAGGCGGCUUACUGGACUGUAACUGACGUUGAGGCUCGAAAGCGUGGGGAGCAAACAGGAUUAGAUACCCCAGUAGUC
rnacentral:rRNA from 1 species